rnacentral:rRNA from 1 species
AAACUUUCAACAACGGAUCUCUUGGCUCUAGCAUCGAUGAAGAACGCAGCGAAAUGCGAUAAGUAAUGUGAAUUGCAGAACUCAGUGAAUCAUCGAAUCUUUGAACGCACAUUGCGCCUGGCAGUAUUCUGCCAGGCAUGCCUGUCCGAGCGUCAUUU